rnacentral:rRNA from 1 species
GAAUUUUGGACAAUGGGCGAAAGCCCUAUCCAGCAAUGCCGCGUGCAGGAUGAAGGCCUUCGGGUUGUAAACUGCUUUUGUACGGAACGAAAAGCUUUGGGUUAAUAACCUGGGGUCAUGCCGUUACCGUAAGAAUAAGCACCGCCUAACUACGUGCCAGCCGCUGCGGUCAUAUGUAGGGUGCAAGCGUUAAUAGGAAUUUCUGGGCGUAAAGCGUGCGCGGGCAGUUUUGUAAGACAGAGGUGAAAUCCCCGGGCUCAACCUGGGAACUGCCGUUGUGACUGCAAGGCGAGAGUACGGCAGAGGGGGGUGGAAUUCCGCGUGUAGCAGUGAAAUGCGUAGAUAUGCGGAGGAACACCGAUGGCGAAGGCAACCCCCUGGGCCUGUACUGACGCUCAUGCACGAAAGCGUGGGGAGCAAACA